CCUACGGGUGGCAGCAGUGAGGAAUAUUGGUCAAUGGACGAGAGUCUGAACCAGCCAAGUAGCGUGAAGGAUGACUGCCCUAUGGGUUGUAAACUUCUUUUAUAUGGGAAUAAAACGUUCCACGUGUGGGAUUUUGUAUGUACCAUAUGAAUAAGGAUCGGCUAACUCCGUGCCAGCAGCCGCGGUAAUACGGAGGAUCCGAGCGUUAUCCGGAUUUAUUGGGUUUAAAGGGAGCGUAGGUGGAUUGUUAAGUCAGUUGUGAAAGUUUGUGGCUCAACCGUAAAAUUGUAGUUGAAACUGGCAGUCUUGAGUACAGUAGAGGUGGGCGGAAUUCGUGGUGUAGCGGUGAAAUGCUUAGAUAUCACGAAGAACUCCGAUUGCGAAGGCAGUUCACUGGACUGCAACUGACACUGAGGCUCGAAAGUGUGGGUAUCAAACAGGAUUAGAUACCCCUGUAGUC
rnacentral:rRNA from 1 species